ACCAGACUCCUACGGGAGGCAGCAGUGGGGAAUAUUGCACAAUGGGGGAAACCCUGAUGCAGCGACGCCGCGUGAGUGAAGAAGUAUUUCGGUAUGUAAAGCUCUAUCAGCAGGAACGAGACAAGACGGUACCUGACUAAGAAGCCCCGGCUAACUACGUGCCAGCAGCCACGGUAAUACGUAGGGGGCAAGCGUUAUCCGGAAUCACUGGGUGUAAAGGGAGCGUAGACGGCAAUGCAAGUCUGGAGUGAAAGACGGGGGCCCAACCCCCGGACUGCUCUGGAAACUGUAUAGCUGGAGUGCAGGAGAGGUAAGUGGAAUUCCUAGUGUGGCGGUGAAAUGCGUAGAUAUUAGGAGGAACACCAGUGGCGAAGGCGGCUUACUGGACUGUAACUGACGUUGAGGCUCGAAAGCGUGGGGAGCAAACAGGAUUAGAUACCCCAGUA
rnacentral:rRNA from 1 species